UAUGAACGCUGGCGGCGUGCCUAAUACAUGCAAGUCGAGCGAACGGACGAGAAGCUUGCUUCUCUGAUGUUAGCGGCGGACGGGUGAGUAACACGUGGAUAACCUACCUAUAAGACUGGGAUAACUUCGGGAAACCGGAGCUAAUACCGGAUGAUAUUUUGAACCGCAUGGUUCAAAAGUGAAAGACGGUCUUGCUGUCACUUAUAGAUGGAUCCGCGCUGCAUUAGCUAGUUGGUAAGGUAACGGCUUACCAAGGCAACGAUGCAUAGCCGACCUGAGAGGGUGAUCGGCCACACUGGAACUGAGACACGGUCCAGACUCCUACGGGAGGCAGCAGUAGGGAAUCUUCCGCAAUGGGCGAAAGCCUGACGGAGCAACGCCGCGUGAGUGAUGAAGGUCUUCGGAUCGUAAAACUCUGUUAAUAGGGAAGAACAUAUGUGUAAGUAACUGUGCACAUCUUGACGGUACCUAAUCAGAAAGCCACGGCUAACUACGUG
rnacentral:rRNA from 1 species